AGGGCCCGUGCGAUGGGAAACGUGCCGUUGGCAGCCCGCCACCCCUCCAUCGUGACCUCAGUCUGCCAAACAGGGAAAUUACUCCAGGAUUUGAAUCAUCACAAGAGAUUCACCAGAGGAUUUUAUACACUUGGGCUGUGGCAGCAGACUAAUUACAUCACAGCACUAGAGCUGAGAUACUGGCUGGGUGGAUUUCAGCAAAUUUCCAAGGGCACAUGACAUGUGGGCACAAAAGCCGGGAUUUCACACCAGGGGAUAAAGUAUAUCAGAAAUGAAGGCUGGGACAGGAAUGUUCCCCAAAUGACACUGCUUAAGAGAACUUUGAGGAGAACUGAGGGCAAGAUACAAGCCAUGGUUCUAUACAGAUAAGUCUACGGAAGCUGCAGAAAUAACAUUCCAGAUCCCCAGGAAUCCACCCACCCACCCCUCCGACUUUGGCCGAACACCAUGGCUGGCUGCCGUGUGAAGAAUGGACUGUAGGGGGUGCCAGAGUGGCUGUGGGAAACAUCCCCUAGAAAUCUAGAAUUCAAAGCACUUACUUUGAGUGAUAUAUCCACAAGAAAGAGCCUUCUGUGCUAAAAGCAAAAAAGAAAUAAAAACAUAUCAUGUUACUUUUAA
rnacentral:lncRNA from 1 species